rnacentral:rRNA from 1 species
GGGUAAUUUUCCGCAAUGGGCGCAAGCCUGACGGAGCAAUACCGCGUGAGGGAGGAAGGCUCUUGGGUCGUAAACCUCUUUUCUCAGGGAAGAACAAAAUGACGGUACCUGAGGAAUCAGCAUCGGCUAACUCCGUGCCAGCAGCCGCGGUAAUACGGAGGAUGCAAGCGUUAUCCGGAAUGAUUGGGCGUAAAGCGUCCGUAGGUGGUUAUGUAAGUCUGUGGUUAAAGCGUGGGGCUCAACCCCAUAAAGGCCAUGGAAACUACAAGACUUGAGUGAAGUAGGGGUAGAGGGAAUUCCCAGUGUAGCGGUGAAAUGCGUAGAGAUUGGGAAGAACACCGGUGGCGAAAGCGCUCUACUGGACUUAAACUGACACUGAGGGACGAAAGCUAGGGGAGCGAAAGGGAUUAGAUACCCCUGUAGUCCUAGCCGUAAACGAUGGAUACUAGGUGUUGCCCGUAUCGACCCGGGCAGUGCCGUAGCUAACGCGUUAAGUAUCC